UUGAUCCUGGCUCAGAAUCAACGCUGGCGGCGUGCCUAACACAUGCAAGUCGAACGCGAAAGCCCCGCAAGGGGUAAGUAGAGUGGCAAACGGGUGAGUUACACGUGGGUGACCUGCCUUCGAGUGGGGGAUAACGUCCCGAAAGGGACUCUAAUACCGCAUGACAUCCUGCCUUUGGAAAGGUGGAGAUCAAAGCCGGUGAUCGCAAGACCUGGCGCUUGAAGAGGGGCCCGCGCCUGAUUAGCUAGUUGGUGGGGUAACGGCCUACCAAGGCGACGAUCAGUAUCCGGCCUGAGAGGUCGGACGGACACACUGGGACUGAGACACGGCCCAGACUCCUACGGGAGGCUGCAGUGGGGAAUUGUUCGCAAUGGGCGCAAGCCUGACGACGCAACGCCGUGUGGAGGACGAAGAUCUUCGGGUCGUAAACUCCUGUCGAGUGGGAAGAAUGCUUCGGGGGUGAAUACUCCCCGGAAUUGACGGUACCACUAAAGGAAGCUCCGGCUAACUCCGUGCCAGCAGCCGCGGUAAUAAGGU
rnacentral:rRNA from 1 species